rnacentral:lncRNA from 1 species
GUAUUCCUACUGUGCUCUCUGAGGAUGUGGAUGCUGUUGAUCUGCGGACCACACUUUGAGAAAUACACAGGUGACAGCUGUGGUGGAAAGAACUCCCAUCCAGGAAUCAAAACAUGUCUUCACAUUUUGGCCAUGGAACUUGGGGGUCUUGCUUUGUUGCUCAGGAUGGAGUACAGUGGUGCAAUCUUGUCUCACUGCAGCAUCGACCUCUGGGGCUUAAGCCAUCCUUGCACUUCAGCCUCCCAAGUAGCUGGUACUACAGCUUUGCCCCCUCCAGGGGAUGCAACAACAAGGCGCCAUCUUGGAAGUAGACACCAGGCCCUCACCAGACACCAAACCUGCUGGUGCCUCGAUCUUCAAUUUCCAGCCUCCAGAGUGCUCUGGCCAGGCACGGUGGCUCACACCUGUAAUCCCAGCACUUUGGGAGCCCGAGGCAGGCGGAUCAUCUGAGGUCAGGAGUUCGAGACCAGCCUGGCCAAUGUGGUGAAACCCCAUUUCUACUAAAAAUAUAAAAAAUUAGGUGGGCGUGGUGGUGCGCACCUGUAAUCCCAGCUACUCUGGAGGCUGAGACAGAAGAAUCACUGGAACCCGAGAGGCGGAAGUUGCAGUGAGCCGAGAUCACGCAUUGCACUCUGGUCUGUGCAACAAGAGUGAAACUCCAUCUCAAAACAACAGCAACAAAAAACAAACAAACAAAAAACAACAAGACAGCUCUUCAUACAUUUAAAGACAUCUACCACGGUGGCCAUACUUCUGGAAAUAAAUAGUCUAAGUUAGAACAAAAUACUGCCCCCGUUUUAUUAAUACAUGACAAACCUCUGGUACUUGAAGAUGGCUUUAUGGUCGCCAUAUUUUUUCUUGAAAUAAAAUUGAGAAAUAAAAUCCAAAAAAUGACCUAAA